UACGAAGGGGGCUAGCGUUGCUCGGAAUCACUGGGCGUAAAGGGUGCGUAGGCGGGUCUUUAAGUCAGGGGUGAAAUCCUGGAGCUCAACUCCAGAACUGCCUUUGAUACUGAGGAUCUUGAGUACGGGAGAGGUGAGUGGAACUGCGAGUGUAGAGGUGAAAUUCGUAGAUAUUCGCAAGAACACCAGUGGCGAAGGCGGCUCACUGGCCCGUAACUGACGCUGAGGAGCGAAAGCGUGGGGAGCGAUCCGG
rnacentral:rRNA from 1 species